UCAUCAUGCCCUUAUGACCUGGGCUACGACACGUGCUACAAUGGUUGGUACAACGAGUUGCGAGUCGGUGACGGCGAGCUAAUCUCUUAAAGCCAAUCUCAGUUCGGAUUGUAGGCUGCAACUCGCCUACAUGAAGUCGGAAUCGCUAGUAAUCGCGGAUCAGCAUGCCGCGGUGAAUACGUUCCCGGGCCUU
rnacentral:rRNA from 1 species